rnacentral:rRNA from 1 species
UACGUAGGGUGCAAGCGUUAAUCGGAAUUACUGGGCGUAAAGCGUGCGCAGGCGGCGCGUUAAGACAGGUGUGAAAGCCCCGAGCUUAACUUGGGAAUUGCGCUUGUGACUGGCGGGCUGGAGUGUGGCAGAGGGAGGUGGAAUUCCACGUGUAGCAGUGAAAUGCGUAGAGAUGUGGAGGAACACCGAUGGCGAAGGCAGCCUCCUGGGCCAGCACUGACGCUCAUGCACGAAAGCGUGGGGAGCAAACAGG